rnacentral:rRNA from 1 species
CAAUAGCGUAUAUUAAAGUUGUUGCAGUUAAAAAGCUCGUAGUUGGAUUUCUGGUAGGAGCGACCGUGCCGAACUUGAUUGUUCGAGUAUUGUGUUGUCUUCAGCCAUCCUCGUGGAGAACUUUUCUAACAUUAACUUGUUGGGAUUGGGACCCGCGUCGUUUACUGUGAAAAAAUUAGAGUGUUUAUAGCAGGCAUUAGCUUGAAUACAUUAGCAUGGAAUAAUAAGAUAGGACUUUGGUACUAUUUUGUUGGUUUGCAUACCAAAUUAAUGAUCAACAGGAACAGUUUGAGGAUAUUCGUAUGAACAUGUCAGAGGUGAAAUUCUUGGAUUUUGAUCAGACGAACUACUGCGAAAGCAUUUAUCAAGGAUGUUUUCAUUAA